UACGGAGGGGACUAGCGUUGUUCGGAAUUACUGGGCGUAAAGCGCACGUAGGCGGAUUUGUAAGUCAGGGGUGAAAUCCCGGGGCUCAACCUCGGAACUGCCUUUGAUACUGCAAAUCUCGAGUCCGGAAGAGGUGAGUGGAAUUCCUAGUUGUAGAGGUGAAAUUCGUAGAUAUUAGGAAGAAACACCAGUGGCGAAGGCGGCUCACUGGUCCGGUACUGACGCUGAGGUGCGAAAAGCGUGGGGAGCAAACAGGG
rnacentral:rRNA from 1 species